UGUGAUGCUGCUGCAGUGUGACAAUGUUC
rnacentral:piRNA from 1 species